rnacentral:sRNA from 1 species
GUUAUUUAUGACUUCACUCGAAAUUUUUGUGGUGUUCCUUAAACCUUCACACCCUAAAAAUCACUCUCGCUCUAAAAUCACUCACUCACACCCUCCAUUGGAACCCUAAACUCCACCGCACAUGUCUCUUCCGCGUUGGCCCUCCCCCUAGAACCCUACCUCCUCUGCGCGCUCCUUCUCUAGAUUGAGAGACCAUCAAUUCCAAGGAUUCCAUGCUAAGACUCAUGUGGUGAUGGUUGGAACGACAUUGGCGAGAGUGGUAGGGGAUAACAAGGAAGAAGAGGAAUCUGGUGGUUUGAGAGGUUCUGCUUGUCGAGGAACGAAUCCUUAGGCACACGGUAAGCACCAUGAAGGCAAAUGAUGGUGAUGCCAAGCAUGAGAGCCAAGAUGAUAACAAAAGCAAAGUUGAUGAGGAACACGACGAAGACGACGAGUCCAAAAAGGAUAACUAAGGUGAUACGAUGAGAAAGAAGAGGUUGAAGAGGUGACAGUGUUCAUGAUAAGCUAGGAGAAUUGUUUGGGACCUUUUUAUUUUAAGUUGUUUCCCCUUUAAUUAGUUUUGAAUAUAGGUUACAAGGAAUGGGUUUUAAGAGAGGAUAUGGGGUUAUAAUAUUGAAAGGGUAUUGGAAACGAUGCAUUUGCUACUAGAUCCUUCUACCCUAGAGACUUUUCUUGGCAGAGUCCCAAUGGAAUUCAAUGUUGUUAUAUUGUCUCCUUAUGGCCUCUUCGACAAGCCAAUGUCUUGGGUUUGCCUGACACUAGUGGACACUUUUAUUUUCAAAAUUCCAUACAAUUUGUAAAAGGUGUUCAUUUGCGAUUUUAUGUGUUGUCUCGCUACUUGAUAAGAAGAACCUAACAAAUUUUUAAGUUUAUUUUUAAAUCAA